rnacentral:ncRNA from 1 species
AUUAGUCACCUUAGCCUAGGAAACUGGGAUGGUAUCUUCCAAGUGGUAAUGCAGGAAUUUUAAGAUAAGCACAGGAAGACAGAAACAUCUCAUGGGCAGAAAGGCAGAACUUCUGAUGGAGUUUGACUUUUCUUUAUGCAUGGAGACAGUGAAAGUGAGGCUCAGUGAUCUUCAUGAUCCCUCUGACCAUUGGGAUCUUAAGCAAGAGGUGUCAGAAAGUUUAUCACAGAGAUCACUGCAAUGUGGUGGCCAAGUAUUCAUGGCAAUGCCACUGUUUGUUUGGUCCUUAGAUAUUAGCACUUCGUUGUAAAAUAUUGGUUCUUCAUUAUGAAGCAGCCUUCACUAAGGGUGGGAUUGUUCACCCAUUAAUAAGAACGUGAGCUGUGAUUAGGCAAUGGUAAUACAGGGCAGUU